GUAUAAAAUGUGAUCGAGUGGUAAGGACACUUGCUUCUCAACCUGGAGUCCCGGGUUCGAUCCCCGGUCGAGGAACU